UCCAACACAUAGGUACUUACAUUAAAUUGGUAUCCAUGCAUGACUAAGGAAAUCUCAUCACACUGUGCCCUACAACCAAUCACCUCUCCAUUGCCUACUAACACCUAGAGCGGUGUCACUUGCCGCAUUGGAAAGCAAAAUUUCUCAGCCACACUUGUUUUUACAAUAUUGUAAGUGCUACGCCCAUCAAUAAGAACUGUCCCAGAUAAGUUCCCUUCAAGUGAAAAGUAGUUGGUUGAUACUGGCCUACUAGGACAUUAAAGCUAAUCCCUAGCUGGGUGGGUUGAACUAUAAUUGGCUUUUCUGGUUCAGUAGUUUCUAUAAUGGAUAGAUCGGAUUUUCUUAAUAUUUCUUGCAUCUCUUCUUCACCAACUAGCAAGUAACAAGUAGAUUUACAUCAGUGAGUUAGUGACCACUUAUCUUCAGAUUAGUAACAUAAGCUUUUCUCUCUCUUUUGCUUAAUCUUUAUGGUUAUGAGAUUCUUAACGGUAUAGUGUUUACAGGUGUAGGAGUAGACGAUAUGACUUGUGUUAAAGGUGGUUUAAUGGGGCUGAUAUGUUGUUUGGGCAUGUUUGGUUGUGUAGUAGUGGAAGAGUAGUGUGUGCUAUUAUGGGGUUUUUACGAGAGUAGCUUUGGUAGAGGCCUGGUGCUUCUGUUCGUAUAAUUUGGCCA
rnacentral:lncRNA from 1 species